AAAUUCUCACUCCCGGUUGUGGUCUCCAUCCGGAAAUGGCCGUCUCGCCGCCAGGCCCGAAGGUCAGGACCUGCCAGCUGUAAAAUGGGAUAAUGUUCACCCCACCACCCUGCUGUGAGCUCAGAUAUGUGAUACUUUAGAGUGUAAAGCACUAUAACAAUGAACUGGAGAUCAGCCAGAUCACUUGUAUGCACAAAGCUGCUGUGGAUCUGUCUUUCAAACAAGAGCUGCAGAAAACGCUAUAGCAAGGUUGAAGCUUUAUCCACUCUGACUCACCCAGAAAGCACAGCCCUGAUUCUGCGUGAGAAAGGCUAUCUCUACAGAAACUAAAACGGUAUCAACGGUUUCUGUACAGCACAGAUUAUGACAGCGUCUUUCUUAAGAUUCUGUGGACCUGACUGACACUAGAAAAGCCCUAUGUUCUUUUUGUUGGUGGUUUGUAAACAGUAGGAAAAAUUCAGUUUUAUUCAUUGUGUUUCUGACAGAUGGAACAAGUUAAGGUUACCUUCUCAAUAUGAGGACUAAAGCUUUUAGCCAAUAUUUGUGGAGAAGACACAUUUAAGAUUUUCUUUUGCCCAUACAUGCAAU
rnacentral:sRNA from 1 species